CACCGGGUAGCCAGGAGCAGGCCGGAGCGAGGAGGCUCCCGGGGUGACACCGGGGCACCCUGAACAUCAUAAAGGACUCAGACCUUGGCAUUCCCGACGUCAUAUAGGACUCACACGGAUGCGGAAACCGAGACGGGCUGGAUGGAAAACUCUUUCCAGACAGGCUCCGGGGCCCUCAACUGGUCUCCGACCUUCCCCUGCAACCUGCAACACCUGCCAUUUUCCCAUCUUAGGCUCCAGAAGCAGAAUCAAGUGGGAUGUCUUGGAAGAAAAACAAACAAAAGGCCCACUAGGUGGAGUGAAAUGGAUCAGGAGCAAUUAUGUUCAAUGGCACCUUUAAGUUUUCUCAAAAGGAGGAGGAUUAAGAAUCAGCCACCUUAGUACAUACUUAAAGAUUUACUGAAACCUGAUCCUGUCCCUGCUGAUGAAACGUCAGAGGAAUGGGAUCCUGUAGGUGAAGAUCAUCAGCUUAUAAAAUCCUGUUGCCAUCAAUGGGGGUAGCAGGAAAAUGAUGAAGAUUGGUUAAGGGGCCAGUGGACUCAGCAUUGAAAUGAAUCAUGGACUUGAAGCCAAAAGACUCAGUUUGUGUCCCAGCUCUCUCAAGCAAAGCCCCCAAGUCCCAGUUUCCUCAUCUAUAAAAAAUAAUAAAAAUACUUCAUGGACA
rnacentral:lncRNA from 1 species